AUCAUGGCUCAGGAUGAACGCUAGCGGCAGGCUUAACACAUGCAAGUCGAGGGGCAGCGUGGAGCAGCAAUGCUCUGACGGCGACCGGCGGAAGGGUGCGUAACACGUGAGCGACUUGCCCGUCACAGGGGGAUAACACACCGAAAGGUGUACUAAUACCGCAUAAGACCACGGGAUCACAUGGUUCUGGGGUAAAAGAUUUAUCGGUUUGGGGUGGGCUCGCGUCCGAUUAGGUAGUUGGUGAGGUAACGGCCCACCAAGGCGACGAUCAGUAGCCGGUCUGAGAGGAUGAACGGCCACACUGGAACUGAGACACGGUCCAGACUCCUACGGGAGGCAGCAGUGGGGAAUCUUCCGCAAUGGGCGAAAGCCUGACGGAGCAACGCCGCGUGAGUGAUGACGGCCUUCGGGUUGUAAAACUCUGUGAUCCGGGACGAAAAGGCAGAGUGCGAAGAACAAACUGCAUUGACGGUACCGGAAAAGCAAGCCACGGCUAACUACGUG
rnacentral:rRNA from 1 species